CCUACGGGGAGCAGCAGUGGGGAAUAUUGGGCAAUGGGCGCAAGCCUGACCCAGCAACGCCGCGUGAAGGAAGAAGGCUUUCGGGUUGUAAACUUCUUUUUUCAGGGACGAAGCAAGUGACGGUACCUGACGAAUAAGCCACGGCUAACUACGUGCCAGCAGCCGCGGUAAUACGUAGGUGGCAAGCGUUAUCCGGAUUUACUGGGUGUAAAGGGCGUGUAGGCGGGACUGCAAGUCAGAUGGGAAAACCACGGGCUCAACCUGUGGCCUGCAUUUGAAACUGUAGGUCUUGAGUACUGGAGAGGCAGACGGAAUUCGUAGUGUAGCGGUGAAAUGCGUAGAUAUUAGGAGGAACACCAGUGGCGAAGGCAGUAUGCUGGACAGCAACUGACGCUGAGGCGCGAAAGCGUGGGGAGCAAACAGGAUUAGAUACCCUUGUAGUC
rnacentral:rRNA from 1 species